rnacentral:tRNA from 1 species
GGCUUUAUAAUCAAAAAUGAGUUUAAAUUGCAAAUUUAAAAGUAAGAUUAAUCUUUAAGGCUU